GAUCUCGAGCAAUCUCGAGUGACAUUUGACUCGCUUCAAGCGCUAGAUCUCCAAGAAAUGUUUUAAAAACCUAUCCAAAGGAUGUUCUAUGGAUGAGAGGAUAUUCUAAGAAUUCCCGACAUUCUUCGAAUAAAGUGUAAAAAUAAAUUAUCUCUUGCGAAAUAAAUACCUGAAGAAAGAUCAAAUACAGCAGCUAAGUAUACUAAUUUACGUGAUCUUAUUUUUUGCCUUAUUUCUACAGCAAUUUGCACGAGCAUUUUUAAUACGCAAUAUAGUUAAAAAAAGAAAAAAGCUGAUCAAAAAAUCUUGCAGCUUCGUGACGAUUCUGUGACGCGCAAAAAAAAGAAGAUAAAGAGUGCGUUCCUUUACUCACUCCGAGUACUCAUGCUAUGACGUAAUGGAAGUACUGCAACUCCCGUCAUCCUUCCGUUUUAGUUUCGUGCGCUUUUUAAUUGCUUCUAGAUUAUAAAACGAAACGCAGUUGCAGUACGUUUUCAAGCUCCAACUGAAAAUGGCUGAC